rnacentral:rRNA from 1 species
UACGGAGGGGGCAAGCGUUGUUCGGAAUUACUGGGCGUAAAGGGCGCGUAGGCGGCGCGGUAAGUCACUUGUGAAAUCUCUGAGCUUAACUCAGAACGGCCAAGUGAUACUGCAGUGCUAGAGUGUGGAAGGGGCAAUCGGAAUUCUUGGUGUAGCGGUGAAAUGCGUAGAUAUCAAGAGGAACACCUGAGGUGAAGACGGGUUGCUGGGCCAACACUGACGCUGAUGCGCGAAAGCCAGGGGAGCAAACGGG